rnacentral:rRNA from 1 species
GACGAACGCUGGCGGCGUGCUUAACACAUGCAAGUCGAGCGGUAAGGCCCUUUCGGGGGUACACGAGCGGGCGAACGGGUGAGUAACACGUGGGUGACCUGCCCUCAGCUCUGGGAUAAGCCUGGGAAACCGGGUCUAAUACUGGAUAUGACUCCAUGACGCAUGUUGUGGGGUGAAAGCCUUGUGCGGCUGAGGAUGGGCCCGCGGCCUAUCAGCUUGUUGGUGGGGUGANGGCCUACCAAGGCGACGACGGGUAGCCGGCCUGAGAGGGCGACCGGCCACACUGGGACUGAGACACGGCCCAGACUCCUACGGGAGGCAGCAGUGGGGAAUCUUGCGCAAUGGGCGAAAGCCUGACGCAGCGACGCC